AUUUUUAUACGUAUUUUGGAUAUUCUGAUAACCUUUUACUUAUUUUAAAGGCUACUCAACAUUAUAAAAGGACAAAUUUGAGUUUCAUGGUAAAGGUCAAUCUUAAUUGUUUAUGUACUAAUUGGAUCAUGGGGAUAGUUUGCUUCUUUAAAUAUGCCAUCCGGCAUGUUUACAACACAUUUAAAUCAUCCUGUAUCAUCUUGUUUCCCAUAGGUUUAUUGAGCAAAUAACAGUUGUGCCAAAAGCAAUGGCAGAUGCAAAUGUUUUGAAAGGAAAUGCCGGCUACAGAUGGGAAACGUGCUGAAAACUAGGGAAGACUCUUAAUUGGGACACUAAUUUAUUCGGCAACAGUUUGUUGCCAUCCAAUGAACUAUGACAACAAUGCCUUGGUUACAUCUUUGGCCAUGUAUAGCCUCUUCUAUGGCAACAAAAGAAGAGGUCAGAAGAAUUCUAGCCAGUGUGUUCCUGACUGCUUUGUCCAGCUCAGCCUUGGCACUUCAGUCAGGCCUCUCUUAGGUUUAUGAGGCAUCUUCCCUGAGUGACGGUGUAAUUGCUUCAGAUAAUGCUCAGGCAAAUAAAGACUGUUGGCAUUUUGCUGCUCAUUGAAUAGAAAAUAUGACCCUCCACCCCCAUUUCUGGAAUUGCUCUGGGAUUGUUCAUCUGGAAGAAGUCAGCCUGGUCCUUCUCAGCAGAGCUGGCACCAGAGGAGACACACGCAGCUGGCAUCGUCUUCUCAACACAACUGUUACAGCAGUCUCUAGACCCUUCUCUCUCCUGUGCAAAAUGACAAUUCUUAAGGAAAAUCUCAUUGCACCAGUUGCGGAAGAAGAGGCAACAGUCCCAAACACUCUAUCACUGUAGUGAGUGUUGGGACAUGUUGGUAUGGCAUGUGCUAUCAGCAUUCUGGGAAAGUCUCUGGCUGAUGAACUUGCUCUUGUGGAUGUUUUGGAAGAUAAGCUUACAGGACAAAUGAUGGAUCUGCAGCAUGGGAGCUUAUUUCUUUAGAUGCCUAAAAUUGUGGCAGAUAGAGAUUAUUCUGUGACUGCCAGUUUUAAGAUUGUAGUGGCAACUGCAGGAGUCCAUCAGCAAGAAGGGGAGAGUCGUCUCAAUAUGGUGCAGAGAAACGUUAAUGUCUUCAAAUUCAUUAUUACUAAGAUCAUCAAGUACAGUCCUGAUUGCAUCAUAAUUGUAGUUUCCAACCCAGUGGACAUUCUUACAGAUGUAACCUGAAAACUAAGUGUAUUAUCCAAAUACCGUGUGAUUAAAAGUGGAUAUAAUCUGUAUUCUGAUAGAUUUUGCUACCUUAAGGCUGAAAAACUGGACAUUCAUCCCAGCAGCUGCCACGGAUGGAUUUUGGGAGAACAUGGAGACUCAAGUGUGGCUGUGUAGAGUGACAUUAAUGUGGCAGAUGUUUUUUUUACAGGAAUGGAA
rnacentral:lncRNA from 13 species